UGACAGAGCAGAGAGGGUGAAAGAGAUGAUGGGAGGAAAGAGAAAGAGAUCUAACGCGGCUGAAAAUGCAUUCCUACAAUAUUUAGGGUUUGGGAGGUAUUGUGGGUAUUUUGAGUAAAGUAAUUGAGGACAAAAUAGGUAGUUUGCUGUAACUUAAAAUUUUAAUUGAGUUUGAUCAGCCAAUAAAAUAAAGACACGUGGCAG
rnacentral:lncRNA from 1 species